rnacentral:tRNA from 1 species
GCGCCAGUAGCUCAGGUGGAUAGAGCAACGGCCUUCUAAGCCGUGGGUCCGAGGUUCGAGUCCUCGCUGGCGCA